AUUUCUUUCUGACUGAGUUCAGAAAGAAGUAUAUUAGUCAUAUAUACUUAGAGGCCCGAAGGAGAGAGUUUCUGACCUUGAGGCAGAGACAAUUAACGGUCUCUGAGUAUGAGAGGGAGUUUGUGAGGCUGGGUAGAUAUGCAAGGGAGGUAAUGCCUACAGAGGUAGAGAGGUGUCGUAGGUUCGAGGAUGGACUGAACGAUAAUAUCAGAAUUAUAGUGAUGGCACAUGGGUAUACGGAUUUCUCCCGGCUAGUGGCUGCAUCACUUAAUGUAGAGAGAGUACGAAAUAAGGAGCAGUCUAGGAGAGAUAGACAGCGAAAGAGGAGUUCUGGACAAGGUCAGUCCAGUACACCAGUUUCUGAGGGUAAGAGGCCCAAGGUUUCCCAGGGCCAGGGGCCAGAGACAGGGGUCUCAGUUUACUCAGAGAGGAGGACAGUCCAGAGCAUCAGUGGGGAGUUCUCCAGGCACCGCAGUAGAGGGAUUUACCUCCAUACCAUUAUGCACCUACUGUGAGAGGAGGCACCGAGGAGAGUGCCGAUUGUUGACUGGGGGAUGUUUCCGAUGAGGAGCUACA
rnacentral:misc_RNA from 1 species